CUUUUCUUUUUCUUCUCCCGUCGCCGUGCCGUGCCCCAUUUCUUCUCCCCACUUCUCUUCCUCUUUUUCGCCGAGCCCUAAGCCACCCGAUGCCAUCUCCUUGCUUUCCUCCCCAACCCGACGCCGUCUCCUUCCCCAAUCGGCGCCGCCUCCCGACGCUUCGCUUCCUCUCCUCCCACGCAUACAAAACCGAGCCCUCUCCCGAUCUCUCUCGCUCACGAAGUCCCUCUCCCUACGUCUCUUUGCAUCGUCUCCGUCCGCCAUAGCUCGACGUCGCCGGCCAUGGGAGAUCCGGUGUCGCCGAGUCCGUCUCUCUUUUGCGAACACACUGAGCCAUCCUCGGUUGAUCGCUGCCAUCGCUGAUCUCUCCGUCAUCUCAAUCGCACCAGCACCGUGUGUCCGUCGCCAACUGAGGCCCCUUCUCCACUAAUCGCUGGAGUUCUUCCGGUGGUUGUUCUUGUCUCUGAGUCGCCCUCUCUACACGGGACAACCUUCGACCAAGGGCAAGGAGUCGUGCCGCCGCCUCUGUGAGAGUUGCUGGACAGAUUCUCAGUUUGCUAAUCCCUUCUUAGCUGCCAAAAUCCGAAGUUGGACAACGAUAUCAAACUAGUUCGGUCACCCUUACAGCGGUGAACGCGCUCCGACAGUGAACAAGCAGGUUGAAGCUGUCAGGAGGUUCCAAUCGCUAGUCCCCACCCUGAGUCGCGACGGUUUUUCUAUCUUUGGACUUUUGGUUUCCUUGUUAAGUUCCUACAUACUUAUGAUGUGUGAUUGCACUCGAGGAUUUUUAUAUCGAGUUUUGAUCUACUACCUUUGUUUUUC